rnacentral:lncRNA from 1 species
GACUCCUACGGGAGCGGGGUUCCGCCGCCAAGAAAGACUUCGCCCGGACUCCUAAGGAAGCCGGGCUCCAUCCGCUACUUCGCCAGCAAGGGUUAAAAAUGGUGGCGAGGCUUGGCCACAUGACGAGAUUGGAUGGAAGGGAAGAGCCCCUUCCCACGACGACCUCUAAGCCAAACAGGCCAAACGACGAGAAAGGGUCAACGGACGACAAUAUCGGUGCUACGCACAGACAAGGUAACACAAAGUGCUUUUUCUUCAUUUCCGAUAUAUGUACUACAGGGCCAGGACGGCCAGAGAAAGAGGGACAGAACGACAAGAAAAAAGCAGCUACAAAAAGGGGGGUGACUACAAAAGAACUCUAAGGAGGUCCUGCUCCCUCCGACCUAGGGUGAUCACCUCCAUCCCUCAACCAGGACUGCCUCAGAUUCUCCACUGCUUCUUCUAGUUCUUCCUUCUUCCGCAGCGUAUCCUGGAGCAUCUGAUGAAGAUGUCGGCUCUCUGCCUCUGCUUCUCGACAUCGCUUCUGCAGAACUUCGAACUCCGCCUCUGCAUCCGCGACGGCCUUCCGCUCGAGCGCCAGUUGGAUUUUCACUUGUUGAAGCUCGGCUGUCUUCUCCCCAAGGGAGACGGAAAUCCCUUCGAUAGUGCCUCUCAGGGCUAGGAGCUCUUCGGUAUCUUGGGCGUUAGUAAGCUGCGCCCUAGU